CCAAAGGCUCUUUUCAGAGCCACCCACAUUCUCAAAUAAGGCAGCU
rnacentral:ncRNA from 1 species